rnacentral:rRNA from 1 species
AACGAACGCUGGCGGCAUGCCUAACACAUGCAAGUCGAACGAGAUCUUCGGGUCUAGUGGCGCACGGGUGCGUAAAGCGUGGGAAUCUGCCCUUUGGUUCGGAAUAACAGUUGGAAACGACUGCUAAUACCGGAUGAUGACGAAAGUCCAAAGAUUUAUCGCAAGAGGAUGAGCCCGCGUAGGAUUAGCUAGUUGGUGUGGUAAAGGCGCACCAAGGCGACGAUCCUUAGCUGGUCUGAGAGGAUGAUCAGCCACACCGGGACUGAGACAUGGACCAGACGCCUACGGGAGGCAGCAGUGGGGAAUAUUGGACAAUGGGCGAAAGCCUGAUCCAUCAAUGCCGCGUGAGUGAUGAAGGCCUUAGGGUUGUAAAGCUCUUUUACCCGGGAUGAUAAUGACAGUACCGGGAGAAUAAGCUCCGGCUAACUCCGUGCCAGCAGCCGCCGUAA